rnacentral:rRNA from 1 species
UACGGAGGGGGCAAGCGUUGUUCGGAAUUACUGGGCGUAAAGGGCGCGCAGGCGGCUGCUCAAGUCAGGCGUGAAAGGCCUGGGCUCAACCCGGGAAUUGCGCUUGAGACUGGGCUGGCUCGAGCACUGUAGGGGCGGGUGGAAUUCCGGGUGUAGCGGUGGAAUGCGUAGAGAUCCGGAAGAACACCGGUGGCGAAGGCGGCCCGCUGGGCAGGAAGGCUCGCAAGAGCCGGCUGACACUGAGGCGCGACAGCGUGGGGAGCAAACAGG